AGUAAAAUUGAAACACGUAUUUAUUGAGGAUUUGGAAAACAUAGAAGAGUAUAAAGGAGAAAAUUGUACUACUUAACAAUCCCAUUCAGAAACAAUUGUGAUUAUUAAUAAGUUAAUUUCCAGGGUUUUUUUCAUGUAAAAUUUACAUCAGCUCAUUUCUUACAAUUAUCUGUCUAUCUAGACGAUUCUAUAAGUUUAUGAUCUUUGACUCAGGUGUUUAUUUUAUUUUUUUUAUAAUAAAAGUAGCUUCUAUCCAUCCGCCGCCCCGGGAAGUACAUCUCCUAGUUCAGUUUUUCUGUGUCUUUUCCAAUGGGCGGGAAGACAUCUUCCCUGUGUGCAGGGAGUUAUGUAAUUUGUCUAAAUCACACAGCACUAAAGGAAGAACAAACCCACAAAUCUGGGUGUGUCUGGGGCUCACAUUCCCUUCAGCAGAUGUUCGGUUCUCAGAAACGCAGGCCGCUCCCUCCGGCCAGCUGUGACCCCUGGAGGAAGAGUGUCUGAUGGGGGUUGAGCAGUGCCCGGGCCCGUCAGCCAGUGAGGACAGAGAGCCCUGCGCCAAAGCCUCUGAGGAUAUCGGUGAUGCUGGGAACAAAUCUGAAGUCGCCAUUUCCACGGCCAGGUCCUGCCCUCUCUGACCCUUCACCCUGUGUCCCCUUCACUCUGCGCCAGCUCCCUGAUGUCCACCAAACCAGCCAAACUCAUCCAGGCCCAGGCUUUCACACAUCACUCUUCCCUUCUGACUGGAAUAUUCUUCCUGCUCUGGACCUGGCUUAUUCUCUUCAGAGGGGUCUCUGAGCUCUGUUGUGGACUAGCUCUUGUGUCUCCCUGGGAGUAAGACCAGCUGCUCUGGGACACAGCAUCGUUACGGAACAGCAGUUCCCCC